rnacentral:rRNA from 1 species
CCAGACUCCUACGGGAGGCAGCAGUGGGGAAUAUUGGGCAAUGGGCGCAAGCCUGACCCAGCAACGCCGCGUGAAGGAAGAAGGCUUUCGGGUUGUAAACUUCUUUUCUGGGGGACGAAGAAAGUGACGGUACCCCAGGAAUAAGCCACGGCUAACUACGUGCCAGCAGCCGCGGUAAUACGUAGGUGGCAAGCGUUAUCCGGAUUUAUUGGGUGUAAAGGGCGUGUAGGCGGGAAUGCAAGUCAGAUGUGAAAACUAUGGGCUCAACCCAUAGCCUGCAUUUGAAACUGUAUUUCUUGAGUGCUGGAGAGGCAAUCGGAAUUCCGUGUGUAGCGGUGAAAUGCGUAGAUAUACGGAGGAACACCGGCGGCGAAGGCGGCCUGCUGGACCGUAACUGACGUUGAGGCUCGAAAGCGUGGGGAGCAAACAGGAUUAGAUACCCUAGUA